AUACCUUUCUCGGCCUUUUGGCUAAGAUCAAGUGUAGUAUCUGUUCUUAUCAGUUUAAUAUCUGAUACGUGGGCCAUUGUCUCACACGAUAUUAAUUAAAUUUUUUUUAGGGAAAGGCCCAUCAAGGUAGCUUGCUACUUUUGGGUCUUUGAGUGUCGCCUUGGUAUUGCACCAUUGCCUUGGCCUGGCAUACCCCAC
rnacentral:snRNA from 1 species